rnacentral:rRNA from 1 species
UACGUAGGGGGCGAGCGUUGUCCGGAUUUACUGGGCGUAAAGAGCGCGCAGGCGGUCGUUCAAGUCGCGUGUGAAAGCCCCCCGGCUCAACUGGGGAGGGUCACGCGAUACUGAUCGACUCGAAGGCAGGAGAGGGUAGUGGAAUUCCCGGUGUAGUGGUGAAAUGCGUAGAUAUCGGGAGGAACACCAGUGGCGAAGGCGACUACCUGGCCUGUUCUUGACGCCUGAGGCGCGAAAGCUAGGGGAGCAAACGGGGAUUAAGAAACC